CUCAGGCUCAAAAUUCAUCCCGGUGUGGAUUAAUUCAGAGAUGUCUCUUUCACACCCAUCAAUACUUCCUGUAUGAAGAGAAGGAGACCAGAGGCAGGAUGGUGAAACACUGAAGGAUGUUCCAUUCCCACAGCCAUGCCUCUGGGUUGCCAGCAGCAAUAUUCUAGGGAGGGUAAAUGAAGUUGAUCUGGUGAUUGAAAAAGAAAAAAUUGCAACAAUACCUGCAAAGAAAGCCCUUUUGGUCCUCUUGAGCACCUUCUACGCCUUCAAUAUGGAGUACACUGAAGGGUGUUCUCCGCACUGGAGAUCAUUUUUCUUGGCUCAAAGAGAGAUCAAUCGAAGAUUAAAGUAAAUAGGCUUUUGGUAGCACUUGGUGUGUAACUAAAACUCUUGAACACUUUAAUUUACUAGCAUUAACUAAAACUCUACCAACUAACUAUAGAUCUAGCUAUAAAUUAUUGCACAUGUGCUCUUGUUCCUGCUUC